rfam:Paracoccidioides brasiliensis Pb18 unplaced genomic scaffold supercont2.6, whole genome shotgun sequence.
GGUUGUAUAGUGUAGCGGUUAGCACGCCAGAUUCUGAUUCUGGAGACCUGGGUUCGAUUCCCAGUACGACCU